AAGUCAUAACAAGGUUUCCGUAGGUGAACCUGCGGAAGGAUCAUUAGUGAUUUGGCCGAGAGGCCCUUAUCCAAUCCUCACACCUGUGAACAACUUGUCGGUGGGCUCACGCCCGCCGGACAAACCAAUACAUAUACUAUGUGUAAUGAACGUCAAUGUAUAACAAACAAACAAAACUUUCAACAACGGAUCUCUUGGCUCUCGCAUCGAUGAAGAACGCAGCGAAAUGCGAUAAGUAAUGUGAAUUGCAGAAUUCAGUGAAUCAUCGAAUCUUUGAACGCACCUUGCGCCUCUUGGUAUUCCGAGAGGCAUGCCUGUUUGAGUGUCAUGAAACCUCAAUCCCCGACGGUUUUCUUCCGGACGGCGGACUUGGACCUGGGCGCCUGCCUCUCGAGGCUCGCCUCAAAUGACUUAGUGGGGACUUCUUCUGCCUACGCCUGACGUGAUAAGUUUCGUCUGGGCCGGCGUCGAGGCCCGCUCACAACCCACCAUACACUUUUGACAUUGACCUCAAAUCAGGUAGGGCUACCCGCUGAACUUAA
rnacentral:rRNA from 1 species